CCUACGGGUGGCAGCAGUGGGGAAUAUUGGGCAAUGGGCGCAAGCCUGACCCAGCAACGCCGCGUGAAGGAAGAAGGUUUUCGGGUUGUAAACUUCUUUUCUCAGGGACGAAGAAAGCGACGGUACCUGAGGAAUAAGCCACGGCUAACUACGUGCCAGCAGCCGCGGUAAUACGUAGGGGGCAAGCGUUAUCCGGAUUUAUGGGGUGUAAAGGGCGUGUAGGCGGGAGAGCAAGUCAGAUGUGAAAACUUAGGGCUCAACCCUGGGCCUGCAUUUGAAACUGUGUUUCUUGAGUGCUGGAGAGGCAAGCGGAAUUCCGUGUGUAGCGGUGAAAUGCGUAGAUAUACAGAGGAACA
rnacentral:rRNA from 1 species